CCGCCCCUGCCAGUGGUGCUGGUGGCGCUUCUGCUCCUGAAGCCGAGGAGAAGAAAGAAGAGAAGAAGGAAGAGAAAGAGGAAUCUGAUGAUGACAUGGGUUUCAGUCUCUUCGACUAAGGUUUUUGCAGCCGGGGAAUCACCAAUAUCCGUAUGAAUUCUUUGUCUCUUUUUCAUCACAGUUAUGAAAUUAGGUAUGAAGCAAGAACAAUGACAUAUAUGGAUUUUGUUUCCAUUGAUUAUUGGAUUUUGCUUAUGAAUCAAUGACAUAUAUGGCCAUUUCAGAUUGAUUUCUAAUGCGUCUUUAGAGGCUUCUGGCC